rnacentral:rRNA from 1 species
GGAUUGAGACCCGGCCCAGAUUCCUACGGGAGGCAGCAGUGGGGAAUAUGGACAAUGGGGGGAACCUUGAUCCAGCCAUGCCGCGUGUGUGAAGAAGGCCUUAUGGUUGUAAAGCACUUUAAGCGAGGAGGAGGCUACUUUAGUUAAUACCUAGAGAUAGUGGACGUUACUCGCAGAAUAAGCACCGGCUAACUCUGUGCCAGCAGCCGCGGUAAUACAGAGGGUGCGAGCGUUAAUCGGAUCUACUGGGCGUAAAGCGUGCGUAGGCGGCUUAUUAAGUCGGAUGUGAAAUCCCCGAGCUUAACUUGGGAAUUGCAUUCGAUACUGGUGAGCUAGAGUAUGGGAGAGGAUGGUAGAAUUCCAGGUGCAGCGGUGAAAUGCGUAGAGAUCUGGAGGAAUACCGAUGGCGAAGGCAGCCAUCUGGCCUAAUACUGACGCUGAGGUACGAAAGCAUGGGGAGCAAACAGGAUUAGAUACCCUGGUAGUCCAUGCCGUAAACGAUGUCUACUAGCCGUUGGGGCCUUUGAGGCUUUAGUGGCGCAGCUAACGCGAUAAGUAGACCGCCUGGGGAGUACGGUCGCAAGACUAAAACUCAAAUGAAUUGACGGGGGCCCGCACAAGCGGUGGAGCAUGUGGUUUAAUUCGAUGCAACGCGAAGAACCUUACCUGGCCUUGACAUACUAGAAACUUUCCAGAGAUGGAUUGGUGCCUUCGGGAAUCUAGAUACAGGUGCUGCAUGGCUGUCGUCAGCUCGUGUCGUGAGAUGUUGGGUUAAGUCCCGCAACGAGCGCAACCCUUUUCCUUACUUGCCAGCAUUUCGGAUGGGAACUUUAAGGAUACUGCCAGUGACAAACUGGAGGAAGGCGGGGACGACGUCAAGUCAUCAUGGCCCUUACGGCCAGGGCUACACACGUGCUACAAUGGUCGGUACAAAGGGUUGCUACACAGCGAUGUGAUGCUAAUCUCAAAAAGCCGAUCGUAGUCCGGAUUGGAGUCUGCAACUCGACUCCAUGAAGUCGGAAUCGCUAG